CUUCUCUUCUUAGUGCCUGGCUCACCUUCGCCGGGGAGCUUCCUCUUCCUGGAAAAUCUUCAGUUGCCACAAACCCACAAGGAGCAGCUCGGCCAUCUAAAGGUGAGGUUGCUAAAGAUGCCCGAGUUCUUCUGCAUUUUGGUGCCUGCAUGGAAAUGAAGCAUCUGAAAACUUGACCGCUACUGUGAAUGCUGAAGGUCAUGAGGAAAACACUGCUGGAUUUUGGUGAUGAAAGUCUCUCUCCAAACAAUUACUUCUCUGAGGGUCGUGAGAAGGAUUAGAUGCUUUUGCAACCAACUAUAUAUUUACUUUCAAGAGAACCUGUAUGCAGCUGCAACCCAAAGACAGCACCUCUGUUGCUAUGAGGCUCUACUGGAGUUUUAACCUCUUUUUGGAAGGAAAAACCCCAAACAGGAGAGCUCACACUGGUUGUUCACAGGAUUUAUAGAUGUUAUGACAAAAUAAAUGUGUCAAAUCUGUACAAGGUGUUUGAAUAAAGACAUGAGGGAAAUGUUUUCAGCCAGUCCAGUAAAAAUUUGGUUCCGCAUUUGACCCUAAUGCACUUUCAGGACUGGUAGGAUUACAGGCAGGUACCCUUAAGAGAGCAGAACACUACUAUUUCUGAACUAAAAAAAUAAUUGAAGUUCUCUAGUGACAUUGCCCACCUUAAUUUACUGAUGAUGUUCAAAAGUAAAUAGGCAACAACCAUAGGCAGACAGGUUCCACUCUCAUGGGCACCUGUGAGUGAGAAGAAUUACCCUGUGCUGUUUGAUGUAUAACCCAGCCAGGUUCCAGUGUGAAUAUCGUCCUUUUGACAUUAUCCUCAAACCUGCAUGCGGGACAUUUAAAACAUUGCUGCCCCUGUGAAGAUGUCACAAGGAUAAAUUGGUUGAUGUAAGUCUUCUGCUUGUGCCUACAGAGUUUUAAAAUCCUUUUGAUUUCUAUAAGCAUAUUUCACUGGGAGUGCGGUGCGCUUGGUAAAGCUAAUUCAGCAGAGGACCUUUCCUAAAGUUGUUUUUUGCAUUGACACCCAAAAAUUUCAUUGCUUUUUGCUGCUCCCCAGGGAUGAAUUACCUGCACUUACCUUGACUAAUAUUGUUUCUCUUACAAAGAGAGUGUGAUAAUCACUUAUUUGGACAGAGUAGAAUAACAGUUGCGUGCAGACUUCAUGAGGAAA